ensembl:lncRNA
CAUCUAUCACCUUAAAUUUUUAUCAUUUCUUUACAGUGAGUACAUUCAAAUUCCUCUCUUCUAACCAUUUUUGGACAACUUCUCCUGAUCUUCAAUCAACGUAGCUGCUUACCACUUGCCACCAGGUGUACACCGCUGCCCUACCCCUUUGAGAAGUGGCGGGCACAGAUGGCUCCAUCUGGGUGCAAGUCCCUUUUCUAGUUAUGCAUGGAUAUUCAGCAGUGCAAGGAAAAACUGGGUAGGUUCUCUGAGGGUCCUGAAAAGUUUGCUGAUGGUUUCCAUACACUAACAAUGGCUUUUGCUCUGACCUGGCGAGAUGUCCAGUUCACCUUGGCCUCUUGCCGCACAGCAGUAGAAAGGAAGAAGAUGACAAGGGCUGCAAACGGUCUAAUGAUGAAGCCUUCAAAGCUUCAUCCUCUGAUAAUCUGCCAGCUGCUGCGUUAUUUGGGUCCCAAGAGGGGCCUGGGCGGGAUUAUAACACGGGGUGGAGAAGCCAAACAAAAGUUAUACAUCAAGGUCAUCUUAGCUAUGCAAUGAGGAAUGCCCAAACCUGUGAACUACGAUAAGCUCAGGUCUAUUAGUCAAGGUUUUGAUGAGAAUCCAGUUGCUUUUCAGCUCCAACUUUAAGAGCCACUCCGUAAAUACACUAAUUUAGACCCAGAGUCCAGAGAAGGUCAGAUUAUCCUAAAGCAGUAUUUUAGUAGUCAGUCAGCUCCAGGUAUUAGGAAAAAGCUCCAAACUCCAGCUGGGCCCACAAACCAAAAUAAGUCAGUUGGUCUACGUAGCUCAUUCGGUCUUUAAUAACCAUGAUGAAGUAGAGUACAAACAAGAGGUGAAUAAAGACAAGAGGCAGGCUAAAGCCAUGCUCGCCCUAUGUGGUAAGGCUCAGGACAAAGCCUGCAGCGCUAAGGGAAGCUGAGGUAAUGCAGAGGGUGAUGGAAGCACCAAGUGCUCCAAGUGCAAGUGAAAGGGGCACUGGGGAAGAAAUGCCCUCAGAAACGCCCUGACCCUUGUCAAGCCUGUCACAACGAGGAAGAAGACCCUUGACUUUGGAAGAGGGACCGUUCUCAUUCCCAGAGAGGGAUGAGGUCAUCCUUCACCGUGGUGGCCGGGGAAGACAGCCCAGAAGAGAACGAUGGUGCCUGAGACAGCCUGCAUGACACCUGCCGAAGAGUAUUCUGAUCAGUGUACAGGAGCCUCAGCUAUUAACCUACUGGUGACAGCCCUAGCUCAAUAUUGGAACCUGCCCCCACCUCCACAAUUCAUCAAGAAAUCCCUGGAGGAAGAACUCACCUCUCUUGAACUCAUAGAUCAGUUAGAGCAAGGGUUCCUUGGUCUCCAUGUAUGUAGAGCCAGCACCCUUAUUCAGCCAGAAGUAGCCAAAGAAGAUGGAAUUUCCUCUUUCAACACCCACAAAGAUUUUGGGGGACCAGAGCUGGGUGUGGGGAUAGUACAGUUAGAAAUAAUGUAGCUGAGGGACUCAUUCCCUUACACCCAUUUAAUUUUAAACAGCAUUCUAUGGCCAUUCUUCUUUCCAUCGUUGUUAAGAGAGUUAGAAAACAAAGUAACAAAAACCUAGGAGCUCUCUGAUGCUCUAGGCAAGUGCACAUGCGUCUCCUAGCCUGACCUUCAGUGGCCUUCAUUCUACUCCCACCUCAUUAAGGGUUGAUUUAUAAAUAUUUACUAUAUCUCAUGCAUAUAAUUAAGAUCAGAGUGAAUUCUGGGACAGGGAUGCAGGUUGAGAGUCCCUAAGAUGACACAGCAUCCUGUCCAUCAUGUCUGUCAAUCAUACUUGUCAAUCAUGCUUAUUCUUUAAAUUCCAGAAGCCUGAUGUGUCAGGGGCUGUUGCUGCUUCUGUGUGUG